rnacentral:rRNA from 1 species
UACAUGGGGUGCAAACGUUGCUCGGAAUCAUUGGGCGUAAAGCGCGCGUAGGCGGUUACUUAAGUCGGAUGUGAAAGCCCUCGGCUUAACCGAGGAAGUGCAUCCGAAACUGAGUAGCUAGAGUACUGAAAGAGGGUCGCGGAACGUUCCCGGUGUAGAGGUAGAAAUGCGUAGAUAUCGUGAGGAAUACCAGAGGCGAAGGCGGCUACCUGGACAAUUGCUGACGCUCAGGCACGAAAGCGUGGGGAGCAAACAGG